rnacentral:tRNA from 22 species
GGACCUUUAGCUCAGCUGGUUAGAGCAAUCGGCUCAUAACCGAUCGGUCCCGGGUUCGAGUCCCUGAAGGUCCA